rnacentral:rRNA from 1 species
UGGAGGUAGAGCACUGUUUGGACUAGGGGCCCUUCUCGGGUUACCGAAUUCAGAUAAACUCCGAAUGCCAUGUACUUAUACUCGGGAGUCAGACUGCGAGUGCUAAGAUCCGUAGUCGAAAGGGAAACAGCCCAGACCACCAGCUAAGGUCCCAAAAUAUAUGUUAAGUGGAAAAGGAUGUGGGGUUGCACAGACAACUAGGAUGUUAGCUUAGAAGCAGCUAUUCAUUCAAAGAGUGCGUAAUAGCUCACUAGUCGAGUGACCCUGCGCCGAAAAUGUACCGGGGCUAAAACAAUUUACCGAAGCUGUGGAUACCUUUAUAGGUAUGGUAGGAGAGCGUUCUAUGUGUGAUGAAGGUAUACCGUGAGGAGUGCUGGAACGCAUAGAAGUGAGAAUGCCGGUAUGAGUAGCGAAAGAAGGGUGAGAAUCCCUUCCACCGAAUAUCUAAGGUUUCCUGAGGAAGGCUCGUCCGCUCAGGGUUAGUCGGGACCUAAGCCGAGGCCGAUAGGCGUAGGCGAUGGACAACAGGUAGAGAUUCCUGUACCAGUGCUAAUUGUUUAACCGAUGGGGUGACACAGAAGGAUAGGGAAUCGCACGAAUGGAAAUGUGCGUCCAAGCAGUGAGUGUGAGAAGUAGGCAAAUCCGCUUCUCGCGAAGCAUGAGCUGUGAUGGGGAAGGAAAUUAAGUACGGAAGUUCCUGAUUUCACGCUGUCAAGAAAAGCCUCUAGGAAGAGUAGUACUGCCCGUACCGCAAACCGACA